UUUAAGCGGUCCUCCUCCCUCGUUGAAACGGUGUCAUUUUGUGAGAUUUGGUGGAGCUUUGGCUGCAAAAACUGCACCGUUCCCAUCCCAAGCGAUGUUGUGCACUUGCAAUCAGAUAAUUACAAGAGAGCAUAGCCCGAAAGAAUCUGGCGAGUUUGCUUCCAGCAAAGAUGGUUGCUAGCACAAAUCUCAUCAUCUCCUGCAACUUCUCUUGUCUUCCUCUCAAGGUUAACCCGAAGCCCAAAUCUUUACUCAAAACUCAUUACACAUCUUUUCUGUUUUCAAAUACCAGUACAAGAAAAAGCUUGAAUAUUUCAAAUUUAGUUAAACCCCAAUACAUUUAUAACAAUAAGAAGGGUGUUCAUCAGACUUGUUAUAGCACCUUAAACUCUGACAACAAGUCACCGGAUGACCAAGUUUUAGAUAAAGAUGCUACGGGUGGUGGUCAAGAGGGAGGAAGGGACUGGACAACCUCAAUUUUGCUAUUUGUCUUCUGGGGUGGACUCAUGUACUAUGUUUUCAACCUCACUCCAGACCAGACUCCGUCAAGGGACAUGUAUUUCUUGGAGAAACUUCUCUAUUUGAAGGGAGAUGAUGGCUUUAGGAUGAAUUCUGUGCUUGUGUCAUUGUGGUACAUCAUGGGUCUUUGGCCUUUAGUUUAUAGCAUGCUUCUACUUCCAACUGGCAGAAGCUCAAAAACCAAUAUUCCUCUUUGGCCAUUCCUUAUUCUUUCAUGUUUUGGUGGUGCAUAUGCUCUUCUACCCUAUUUUAUUCUCUGGAGACCACCACCACCUCCUGUUGAAGAAAAUGAGCUUGGAAGAUGGCCUCUUAAUUUUUUGGAAUCAAAGUUGACUUCUGGAAUAUUACUGGCUGCAGGGCUGACUAUAAUCGUCAAUGCAGCUUUAAAUGGUGGUGAAUGGAAGGAGUUCUACCAGUAUUUCAGGGAAAGCAAAUUCAUCCACAUCACAUGCCUUGAUUUUACUCUAUUAUCUGCUUUUGGCCCCUUUUGGGUUUACAACGAUAUGACUGCCAGGAAGUGGUAUGACAAAGGUUCAUGGCUUCUUCUCAUAUCACUGGUUCCAUUCUUGGGUCCUGCAUUGUAUCUAGUCCUACGGCCAUCACUCUCAGAAAUGCCUGUUUCACAGAGCCCAACUUCAUCUGAAGAGCAGUAGCACUGGAGUUUUUAAAUUUUCGUCCAUAUCUACUAGGAAGGCAAAGCUUGUAACACCAAUAAUAAGAAUUUAGUUGUAUGAAGCACAGUUGGGAAUCUGUAUUGCAGAAAUUGGUGGGAAGUUAGCAGUCGGAUUGUUGCAAGCAGAUUAAAGUAACAGAUUGAAUGAAUACAUAAAGGAUCAAUUUACAAUUUUUUUUUUUCUGGAAGAAAUGUUUUUGUAAUUUGCUUCUGUUUGUUUUGUAAUCAAUAGGAACUCCCUCGUUGACCAUUACGUUGCUUUGAUGGAUAUAUUGAUUUGCCACGUACAUGUUCCUGAGGAAAAAUGAAGAAGAAAAAGAUGUUAUCC